UCGCGUCGUUUCGCUUUCCGAUAUUCCUGACAAAUUAUCAUAAAUGUCACAUUACAAUGCGAAAAAAAUUGAAGUCAAAGGAAUUUGUAACUCGCUGCUACAUCGGAAGGCUCGAUAUAUCUUUAGAAAAUGACGAUAUCUAACAUUUACGGGGUGAAAUCUAUCCAAGUCAGAGAAAAUCGGAUAGCCGCCAUGUUGUCAACAUUGACAUCGAUACAAAGGAAAAGCGUGUGUGUGACGCAUAAUGUAAAUGCAAACAGGAAAUUGUGGAACAUGUUCACACACUCUGGCUGUAAAAGUAGACCUGGGAGGAAAAGUGGCCCCGGUGUGGGGCUCGAACUCACAACCACCAGAACACUAGCCCGGCGUUCUAACCAACUAACCUGACCGGGCAGCUGGUUCUAACCCACACACACUACCCUCCCCCCAUUUACCGGUUAAGGCUGGUGGAGGGUCUCCUGCUAUUUACCGUUGACACCAUUAAAGUAUUCUGAUUGAUGGAGAUAAGGAAGUCCCCUUAUUAUUGUCUUCAACAAGCCUACCGCCACAGGGGACCUAGCAUAAGACCGGACCCCCCCCCCCCCCCACACACACACACAUGAUAUUUGCCAGUCCAGGCAAUGUCAACCGCAAGAGAAAACCAGUGAUGACAAGUUUUACAAAUAAUCGGAAAGUGUGGUCUUUUGAAGAGAGUUCUUGAAGUUGUUCAGCAUGUUGUUUUGAUGGAUUCUUGGAAGGAUGUACCUCUAUGAUGUUAGCUUCAGUUCUGGAGUAUAACACCAGUUGUUGCAUAUUUAAUAUCAG